UUCUUGGUGUCUCAGAGGUAAAGAAUCCGCCUGCAAUGCAGGAGACCUGGGUUCAAUGCCUUAGUCAGGAAG
rnacentral:tRNA from 1 species